CUUACACAUGCAAGUCGAGCGGGCGUAGCAAUACGUCAGCGGCAGACGGGUGAGUAACGCGUGGGAACGUACCUUUUGGUUCGGAACAACCCAGGGAAACUUGGGCUAAUACCGGAUAAGCCCUUACGGGGAAAGAUUUAUCGGCGAAAGAUCGGCCCGCGUCUGAUUAGCUAGUUGGUGAGGUAAUGGCUCACCAAGGCGACGAUCAGUAGCUGGUCUGAGAGGAUGAUCAGCCACAUUGGGACUGAGACACGGCCCAAACUCCUACGGGAGGCAGCAGUGGGGAAUAUUGGACAAUGGGCGCAAGCCUGAUCCAGCCAUGCCGCGUGAGUGAUGAAGGCCCUAGGGUUGUAAAGCUCUUUUGUGCGGGAAGAUAAUGACGGUACCGCAAGAAUAAGCCCCGGCUAACUUCGUGCCAGCAGCCGCGGUAAUACGAAGGGGGCUAGCGUUGCUCGGAUCACUGGGCGUAAAGGGUGCGUAGGCGGGUUUUUAAGUCAGGGGUGAAAUCCUGGAGCUCAACUCCAGAACUGACUUUGAUACUGAAGAUCUUGAGUCCGGGAGAGGUGAGUGGAAC
rnacentral:rRNA from 1 species